CCUACGGGAGGCAGCAGUGGGGGAUAUUGCACAAUGGGGGAAACCCUGAUGCAGCGACGCCGCGUGUGGGAAGACGGUCCUCUGGAUUGUAAACCACUGUCCCCAGGGAGGAAGAUGACGGUACCUGGGGAGGAAGCUCCGGCUAACUACGUGCCAGCAGCCGCGGUAAUACGUAGGGAGCGAGCGUUGUCCGGAUUUACUGGGUGAAAGGGGAGCGUAGGCGGGGAUGCAAGUUGGGUGUCAAAACUACCGGCUCAACUGGUAGUCGCACUCAAAACUGCAGCUCUUGAGUGAAGGAGAGGCAGGCGGAAUGCCUGGUGUAGCGGUGAAAUGCGUAGAUAUUAGGAGGAACACCAGUGGCGAAGGCGGCCUGCUGGACUUUUACUGACGCUGAGGCUCGAAAGUGUGGGGAGCAAACAGGAUUAGAUACCCGGGUAGUC
rnacentral:rRNA from 1 species